CGCCAACUAGCUAGCCCACCCCCCUACAAACAACAAAUCAACAUGUAUAAACCCUCAUACACCUACAUCCUACUUAAAUAAACCAUUUUCCCCUCUCAGUACGGGAGACAGAAAAGAGACUUGGAGCAACAGAAAAAGUACCGCAAGGAAAAGCUGAAAAAGAAAUGAAACAACCCAGUAAAGCCCUAAAAAGCAAAGAUUCACCCUUGUACCUUUUGCAUCAUGACUUAGCCAGCACUCAUCAAGCAAAAAGAAUUUCAGUUUGACACCCCGAAACCAGGCGAGCUACUCCAGGACAGCCUAUAAAUAGGGCCAACCCAUCUCUGUGGCAAAAGAGUGGGAAGAGCCUCGAGUAGAGGUGACAGACCUACCGAGCCCGGCCAUAGCUGGUUGCCUGGGAAUUGAAUAAAAGUUCAGCCUCCCGGCUUCUUUCCUCACCACCACUUCAACACACCCCACAGACCCCAAGAAACCCGAGAGAGUUAGUCAAAGGGGGGAUAGCCCCUUUGACACAAGAUACAACUUUUCCAGGAGGGUACUGAUCAUAACCCAUCAAGGAAUAAUUACCCAAGUGGGCCCAAAAGCAGCCACCUCAACAGAAAGCGUCCAAGCUCAAGCACUAAUAGACUCCUUAAAUUCCGACAACCCACUCACAACCCCCUAAAAUUACCAGGCCCCUUCGUGCCCCCACGAAAGAGACCAUGCUACCACGAGUAAUAAGAGAACACCCUUCUCUCCCAGCACACGUGUACACCGGAUUGGACCCCCCACCGAAACUUAACGGCCCCAAACAAAGAGGGAAAUAAACAAAACACCUAAAAACUAGAAAACCACUUAAUACCCCACCGUUGACCCUACACCGGCGUGCCUUCAAGGAAAGACUAAAAGAAAGAAAAGGAACUCGGCAAACAAAAGCCUCGCCUGUUUACCAAAAACAUCGCCUCUUGCAAAACUAAAGAAUAAGAGGUCCCGCCUGCCCACUGAUAUUAUAUUCAACGGCCGCGGUAUUUUGACCGUGCUAAGGUAGCGUAAUCACUUGUCUUUUAAAUGAAGACCCGUAUGAAAGGCUUGACGAAGGCUUAACUGUCUCCUCUUUCCAGUCAAUGAAACUGAUCUCCCCGUGCAGACGCGGGGAUAAAAACAUAAGACGAGAAGACCCUAUGGAGCUUUAGACACAAAGACAGACUAUUUUAAACACCCCUAAACAAGCACUAAAUCCAGUAAGAACCUGUCCCCGUCUUAGGUUGGGGCGACCCUGGGGAAAUACAAAACCCCCAUGUGGAGGGAGGACCUACCACUUAGACCCUCUUAAAAACCCGAAACACAAUUCUAAUUAACAGAACCUCUGACCAAAUUGAUCCGGCCAAAGCCGAUUAACGAAACAAGUUACCCUAGGGAUAACAGCGCUAUCCCCUUUUAAAGUCCAUAUAGACAAGGGGGUUUACGACCUCGAUGUUGGAUCAGGACAUCCUAAUGGUGCAGCCGCUAUUAAGGGUUCGUUUGUUCAACGAUUAAAGUCCUACGUGAUCUGAGUUCAGACCGGAGUAAUCCAGGUCAGUUUCUAUCUAUGAAUGUAAUUUUUUCUAGUACGAAAGGACCGAAAAGAGAGGGCCAAUACCCCAAGCACGCCCCACCCCCACCUGCGGAUACCAUAUAAACCAGCCAACGGGGACAGCCCCAACAACUAAAGACAAUAGCAUU
rnacentral:rRNA from 1 species